rnacentral:rRNA from 2 species
CAUGUCCUUUUGAUAAUAAUUUAAGGUCUGAUCUGCUCAGUGAUAUUUAAAUUGCCGCAGUAUUUUGACUGUGCAAAGGUAGCAUAAUAAUUAGUUUCUUGAUUAGAAGCUGGAAUGAAUGAUUUGACGAGAAAAUUACUGUCUCUUUUUGAUGAUUUUUUGAAUUUUAUUUUUAAGUAAAAAAGCUUAGAUUUUUUUAAAAGACGAGAAGACCCUAUAGAGUUUUAUAAUAAAAUUUUAUUUUUAUCUAGAAAUUUGCUUGAAUUUUUAUUAUUUAGUUGGGGUGACUUGAAGAUUGAUUAAAUUCUUUAAAUAAUAAGUUAAUGAUUAUUAAAUUUAAAAUCUAAGGUUUUUAAAAAUAAAAUAAAUUACCUUAGGGAUAACAGCGUAAUUUUUCUUUAAAGUUCUUAUUGAAAGGAAAUUUUGCGACCUCGAUGUUGGAUUAAAAUAAAUUUUUGGUGCAGUAGCUUAAAAAUUAGGUCUGUUCGACCUUUAGUAUUUUACAUGAUCUGAGUUUAAACCGGCGUAAGCCAGGUUGGAUUCUAUCUUUAAUUGGUUAAUAUAUUUUAGUACGAAAGGACCUAAUAUAUUUUAAAUAUUAAUUG